rnacentral:lncRNA from 1 species
UCUGGGACGUGGUGGCGAUGGCUGGUGGAAGAGCAGACGACGGCGAGUACAGCAGCAAUGACGGCGUCAGUGAACGACGACGACAUGCGGUAGAAAAUGGCCAGAAAUGGCAGCAGCUGUUCGACGCCGUUCAUGGCAUUUCCGGCGACCAAUGGCGGCAGUUUUGGUCUUAAAAUGACCGGCGACUUAAUAGCUUUCUAAUGGGGGCAGCAGUAUCAGCAAUGGUGGCCGGAGAAGAGAGUUCUGACGAAGGAAAGGCAGCUGGAUUAUUGGACUUUUUCGGCCAUCUCCUACGAGAUAUAGCUGAUCGGAGUUCAUGGAUGAACUCCUCUAGUCACAAGCUUUCCGAUAACACUAAUUUUGCAGCGAUCGGACUCCGUUUGAAAAUCGACGGUCGAAACUGUCCGUAUGAUCAGGAAUUGGAUUGGAGAAUCAAGUGCUAGAAUCAUCGUCUUCUCGUUGUUUCGUGUCUGUAGACACACUCAGACCGUCGAUCGGACUCCGGCGGCUAAAGACGAGUCGACCGAUUUAUCAAGCGUCUCGGUAAUUCUUUAGCUUGUUGAUUUUAGAAAUUGUUAAUUAAAAAUUUAUAUUGAUUAAUUAUUGAAGAAAAAUAAUUUAAGGUAUAUGUGUAAGUGUCUUUGAAAAUUUAAAAUUUUGUGCUAUCUAAAUUGUGUAAUGUGAUAUUUUUAUAUAAGACCUUUUAUAUAGUUGCAUUGUAUUGCGGAGUUGGAAAGAAAAAUGAAGCUUUAGUGGCCCGUCUCUUGGCAAAUAAUUGAUGAAUAUCAGAAGUGUUUUUGGCAGGUUCUGGAUAUGUUAUUCGGGAGUAAAUGUCCGUAUUUUAAGAGAGAUUCUACCGAAUUUUCGGUAGAAUUUUCGAGUCGAAAUUUUUAAAUAGUCAAUUCUAGGAGUCUAGGGCUAGUGUUAUUUAUUAAAUAUUUUAUUUUAUUAAUUGAAUUGUUCCCGUGAAAUAGAUAAUUCACCAUUUCAGUCCGCUCUACAUGAGGCUUAGGAGCAAAGCAAUGGGGUCAUCAGAACUAUGAGUGAAAGUCAUAUAUUUGUUAUACAGGCGUUAUAUGCCACAAUUUUAUAUAGCAAUUAUGAUUAACUGAUUGAAAGAUUUAAAUUAUUUAUUUAUUUACUAUUCAUCUAAAUAACUAUUUAUAAGAGUUAAUUAUCUAUUUACUAUUCAUAUAUCAUUUUCCACAUCAUUGAUAUAUUAAUUGCUUAUUGACUCAAGAUGAGACGGCAGUAGAAUAUGCUACAUGAUGGGUUGCAUCAGGACCCGUGCGCACCGGUAUAAAUCUAAGACAAGUAAUAAAAGAAUAUUUUAAGACUUUCCCUAGUCGAGUUGAACUCUUUAAGCUGUGAAGAGUUUGAUUGUCGGAUUAAAGGUAUCUGGUCGAGCGUUGCUCUUUAGGCGCCGGCUUUAUUGGAAAUUAAGUGACCAGACGGGAUUAAGGAUCCUGGUCGAGUUCUGCUCUCUGGGUGCCAGUCCUGUUGGAGUGAGAGAGCUGAAAGGCUAUUAGUGUUGGAGUUAGGGUUCUGCUAAAGUACUUGUUCCGUAACAUGUAACUUAUAUUUUAGUGAAUCAUGGCAUGACACGCGUUUUAAUAUGAUCUAAUAUUUUAUUUUGAUUAAAUAAAUAUUUUAUUGAGGUGAAAUUUUGAAUUAUAUGAUUUAAUUUACUCUCGAGACUGACAGUCUCAAAUUUAAUUAUUUUUCACGUGUUUGUUAUCUUCCCGCAGUUCUUUGCCUCUAGCAGUUCAUUNNNUUUGACUUUUAGAAUUCUAGAUUCUCUGCAAUAGUAAUUUCAAAACUUAUUAUUUUGUUUUGGUAUGUUAAACUAGGUAUUGCCUAUUUGUGCUGGCAGACUGAAUUAAGUAUGUAAUAAUAUAUGAGUGGUUGAAAGUUAGUUAGGAAAUAGUUAUAAUUGGUAGAACUUGAAUUAUUAUUCUUUAGUUGAGUUAGCGAAUGAUCAGACUUGCUACGGAUCUCGGUGGCCUUAUAUCUACCCACUCUCUAGCACCGGUCACGGUCCCACAGAUCGGAUCGUGACAUGAAAUUAUAUAAUUUUAUUAAAAUUAUGAUCCUAUAAUAUGAAAAAAAUUGUUAUGGUGUUAUAAGGCGAUUGUUGAGGAGGUAAUAUUAAUAUUGAUGCAAUUAAUUUUGAAUUAAAUAUAUCUGGCUAGAGAUGGUAGUAGGUAGAGUAUGGGUAGGGUAGUAUUACCUUAUUUAUACUCAAAAAAUUUUAUGUCUACCCAUAUUCAUCUAAGGAAUAAAUAUUAUAUUUAUUUUUUAUAUUUAUAGAGUUUUAGAGGUAUUCGUCGGGGAAAUCCACUAUCACCAUUUAUCUUUUCUAUUAUGUGCUGAAGAACUCUCCCAUAUGUGCAUACAAGCCAAAGAUCUCGGUAUUCUUCGAGGUAUUCAAAUAACUAGAAGAAGUCCUUAUAUUAAUCACUUCUUAUUUAGGACGACUCUAUUUUUUUUGUGAAGCAUCUCGUACUGAGACAUUUGCUUUAAAGCACAUUAUAUAUGUCUAUAUUCAAGCUAGUGGUUAGGUGAUCAAUCUAGUGAAGUCAGCAAUUUAUUUCAGUUUGAAUACCCCAAAAACUAAUCAGGUUCAUAUUGCUGGAAUAUUUCAAAUUUUUAAUGUGGGCAAUUUAGAUCGCUAUAUGUUGAAGAACCAAACCUUGAAGCUUUGUCUUAACUAAAAAUCAGGGACCAAGGAACAAGGGACUUCAGGGACUAAAGAGCAAGGCCUCAGGUCUAUACAGCUAAAAGCUGUACAGACAUGUCAUCACAGGUCUGCAAAACAGGAAAAAGGAGCAAUGUUUCCUCCCUAAGGAAGAAAGGUCGCUUCAAUCAUUCCAAAUUCAAAAGUGAACAUUGACAUAGAUCAUGGGGGGUCAUUAGGUAGCUUAAAGACCAUUGCAACUCAGUCAUGUAUAUAACAGAACAUUCACAUACUGUAAAUCUUAGAAUUCAUACUUGUAAACUCAUCACAAAUCAAUAAAAUUACAAUCACAAUUUCUACAUGGUAUCAGAGCAGGAUUAACCUGUCAUCACUUACCAUUUCCACCAACCCCGAAUUUUUUCAUCAUGUCUCAUAGUGAUAUCACAAGAUUAACCAACAUUGUGUAAAAGGCAAUCAAAACUAUUUCGAAUGGUCAAGGUCUGUUUAUAUCUGUUUGAGCGACAGAAAGAAAUUAGGGUUCAUCACAGGAAGCAGAAUUAAGCCAAAGCCGAUCAAUCCAGACCAACCAACCAAAGAAGAAAUAGAAGAAAUAGAAGAAUGGCAGACGACAGACCAUAUGGUCAUGUCACUACUCAUAAAUAUCAUGGAGCCUCAAAUUUCCAGACUAUGCAUGUUACUCGAGUCAUCACAGGCUAUUUGGAAAAAGAUGAAGAGCCUAUAUGGUCAUGAGCAAAAUUAUGCUCACAUCUUUAAUUUAAAACAAGAACUGUCACAAAUCAAGCAAGGGACUCGAACAAGUACAAGUUAUGCAACUAAGGUAUUGACCAGAUAGGAGGAGCUACAGAACUAUCUCUCACCGCCAACAGACCCAGAAGAAGCAAGAAGAAGAGCGUAACAGGACUUGGUGUAUACAUACCUAGGGGGAUUAGACUCAAGCUAUGAAGCUUUGAGGUCACAAAUUCUUUUGUCGAGCAACCUUUCCAAAAUCGAUAUCGUCAUAGCCAUCAUCCAACAGGAAGAGAAUAGACGCGUGACUAUGAGCGCAAUCACUAACCUCGAUAAUAGUGAAAAUAAAGCCUACUUCACUCACCACUCAAACACUCAAGAGACGGCUCGAGUGAGAGGGGCGCCUACCAGCAUCGAUAGGUGCGACCACUACAAGAAGUAAGGUCCCACCCAAGACCGCUAUUGGCACCUCCAUCCUCACUUACGGCCUAAUCUCAGCAGAAUCGAGUGAGGAAGAAGCAGGGGGAGAAGAGAGAAAGAAGAGAGGCAUUUUGGCGGCUUCAGCACGUCUAACCGUAAGGGUUAUAAAGAGAAGCCAAGGUCGGGUCGUGACUUAAGAAGCGGGUCAGAUUCUUUUAAUUCGAUCCGACCCGACUCCAAAGCAGGGGGAGAAGAGAGAAAGAAGAGAGGCGGUUUAGUGGCUUCAGCACGUCUAACCCUAAGGGUUAUGAAGAGAUGCCAGGGUCGUGACUUAAGAAGCGGGUCAAAUUCUUUUAAUUCGAUCCGACCCGACUCCAAUAGCUGGGUUGACCCGGAUUCGACCCGACAGAAAAUUGUCAACUCUCCCAAUUAACUUCUCAGCUCCAAUCAAUUAUUUAGCACCAGCAACCCCAUGGGUCAGGUUUAGUAUUUAAAAAUUGCUCAGAUUCUUUAAAAAUUUCUCAAGAUUGGAUCAUUGACUCUGGUGCAACUAAUCAGAUGACGUGAGAUUCAACAAAAUUAUAAAAUUUUGUACCUAUAGAUUUCCAACAUGUGAUUGUUGCCAACGGAGGUCGAGCUAAAAUCUCUAGCUUUGGCUCCUCUAAAUUAUUUCACAAUAAUAUACAAGAUAUACUGCUCUUGCCUGAUUUUAAGUAUAAUUUAUUAUCUGUUGGAAAAAUAAGGACCUUGAAUUGUAAUAUCAUAUUCUCACCUAUUACAGUGUUAUUUCAGGAUCGAAUCACAGGGAAGACGAUUAGUGAGGGACAUUUUGAAAAUGGUCUAUACUACCUCACAAACUCCACCAACCAAUGUCUUGUCUCGACCAGUUCAGUAGAUCAAGGAAUGUUGAUACUUCGAUGGUUUGGGCAUCUGUCCGAUAAAAUUUUAAACCAACUUUUUUGUUUAAAUUUAAAUUCUAGUUGUUGUGACAUUUGUAAAUUUUCUAAACAUACUCGCUUGCCUUUUCCUCUAUCUUCUACUGUAUCUGAAAAUAUGUUUGAUUUAAUUUAUUCUGAUGUUUGGGGACUGAUGUGCUAAAUGGGACUUUUAAGAUUGAUUUUAUGGACAUUUGGAUGUGAAUUGGUCCCAACACUCAUCCUAUGCGUCUGUUUGUUUGCAUUAGAUUCAAAAGAAGUCAAAGAAUGAUAAAGGGAAGAAUUGGAGCAUAAUUGGAUGUCAAAGCUGCCGAAACAAGCUAAGUACGAGCAUGAGGAAGCUGAACAUGGCCGUGUUGGUUUCAACACUGGCCGUGUUUCCAACACGGGCACCAACACGACCGUUUUGGGUGUAUUAGACAUCAAAGAAGAAGAGGCGUUAGGGAGCACGACCACAGAGAGUAACUCGGCCAGAAACACCAAACCGUGUUUCCAACACGGCUAGGAACACGGCCAUGUUCGUGGCGACAGGACGAAUUAAUUAAAAGAAAGAGCAAGAGGAAAGAAAGAAGAGCGGGGGAGAACGUCCCAAACCCUAAUAUUUCUCUCUCUAAGGGUUUUCUGAGCUGGAACCAAGGAAAAAGGAGACUUGGAUCAAUGUUUCAAUCGGAUUCCCUUCAUAGAUUGAAAAUUGGGCGAGGUUUGUUUAUUGGUUUUCAAAUCGAACAAGAGGAACAAGAAUCGAGUCAAUUCGAGCAAGAGGAAUUGGGGCUGUUUACUCUCAUCCAAGGGUGUAAUCGGAUUUUCUCUACCUUUACUCUUUGUUGUAAUUGUAUUCUUGUGGAUUCUGAUAAUGAACAUGAUUAGCUAAAUUGAUUAAAUCCAUUGGGAUUACUAUGUUGGCUUAGUAUUAUAUUGUUGGAUUGUUUGGGUUAGUUUUAUAUUCUUCUUGCUUUCAGUAUUAAUAAGAAAAUGCAUUAUUCAUGAGACGUUGUGAAUUGUGUGUUUAGAUUGCUUUGUAUGAUUGAGAAGUCCAUUUGGCAAUUGGAAUUUUGAAUAGCAAGAACUGGUUAAUAAUCGCUUAGAGAUAAGGAUAAUUAACUAGCCGGAUUAAGAAUUAACAAAGCUUAAUAGAGGCGGAUUAAAGCUUAAUGCUAAUUUAAGAAUCAAUCGUUAGGAAGAGAUUCCAAUUUUAGGUUAUUAGAUUUAGGAAUUCGGUUAAGAAUUCAUCCACGGGUAGCAUAAUUAGACUCACUAAUCCUUUAUCUUUUGUUUGAUUGCCAACUAGUUUAGGUUCCCUUUGGGUUUGCUUUCUUGUUUUGGUUAUUUUAGUUAUCAAUUACUCCUGCAUCUCCCUUAGAACUUAGCUCGUAGCUAUUAGUUAGUUUAGAAAUUAUUCAUCCCUCAUUUUAGGUUAAUAUAAUAAAGAACAAAGGAGUAACUCUGGGCUUUCACUUUCCCGAGGAAUAUCACCUUGAUACUCGCCAUUAGUGCUAGACUGCAUCGAUAGGUACACUACCUUAGAUUGUAGCUAACACAAGUAGCACACAUCAAGUUUUUGGUGCCGUUGCCGGGGAAUGUUUGAAAACUAGACUUAUUAUUAUUUAUUUUCUUUUAUUUAUACAUAUUUAUUUAGUUAAUUUUAGGAUUCGGGUAGUGGAUGAUAAGGAGGUUCAAUGCUAAACUCUUUGUAUGACACGUUGGAAAAUGGGAUUAGGAACUAAGAGUGCUAAAAAUUGGGAUACCCGUGCAUCUUUAGAAGCUCGAGUGGAAUCGUUUUGCAGGGCUACCGAUCAACUCUCCACUCCUAUCCUUUCAUCUCAAGUUUUUUUAUGAAUUUUGUUGUGGUUUACAUUUGAGUAAUGAUUAUCCAUUAUAUAGUGAUGUUGCUCAUUGUUCUUAUAACUAUGAAUAGGUGAAUUAUACGGAAAGUUGGCAAAAUGACUUGUAUGAAAGCACCUACAAUUAAGAGUUGAGCAUUCAUUCACCCUUGGAUGGAGCUUAGAUGGCCAAGAACCACCAGAAUUUCAGCAGCCUAAUCUUGCACCAUCAACUCAAGGUGAAGAGUUAGUGUCAGAGGAGCUGAUGAUGAGAUUUAUUGCAAGUCUUGAGGAUAGAUUCCAAUAAACAGAGAGGAUACUUGAAGAUCAACAAGCCUCGAUUAAGAACAUAGAGCAUCAAGUAGGCUUAAUCUUCAAGUUACUAGCUGAAGAGAAAUUAGGAACUCCAUCAAACGCUAUUGAAUCCGAGGAACAUUUGAGUGCCGUCACUUUGCGUUCAGGUGAGAAUUUUUCUGGUUUAUCUAUUAUGUUUGACGAUGAUGCUUCUGUGCAAGACGACUUUUUGAACAUGGAGAUAGAACUAGAAAAGGAAGAGGCAAAUAUGAUCCCUCUGAAAGACUACCAACAGGAACAUAUAGUUGAUGAUGCUGAAUUGCAGUUAGAGGAAUUUUUGAUGGAUUUUCCACAAGUCCCUUCGAUAAUGGAAGAUGAGUACGAGUUAUCCAAUGAAGAAAUCUUGGAGGAGCUCGAGUUUCUUCUAGCAAGUGAACCAAGCCAGGGACUAGAGAAAACCAUCGACGUUCCUGAAGAAAUUGCCCAGCCGUCGAUCCUUCCAAUUGGUGAAACUUCAGCUUUCAAAUUGGAAGAGCCCCUAGAGUAUCAUGACUACGUGCAAUUAUACGAGGAGCGAGUUUUGCCCAUCAUACUGGCAGCUUGCUUGAUAGUCGGGAAGAGGAAAUUGACAAUUAUCCCUCUAAGCGGAUACUUGAAGACAUUUGCUUGGAAGAAGGAUGGAUGGUCAUCAAUCCUUAUCGUUUGCUUUUCACCAUGAGUCGAGCUAAGAAGACUCAUCACAUCAAAAAGAAGCGCUUUUGGGAGGCAACUCAAAUUCUAUUUUUCAAUUUUAAUAAUUUACCCUUUAUUGUGAACUUAGUUUGAUUAGAUUUUACAGUUUAUUUUUGGUAAGUUUUAUUUAUCUUGAGUGUAUGAGUUGAGAACUUGUUGGUUGUGCAGGUGAGAAAGUGCUGAGAAUCGCAACUUUUGCAUUUUUUGGAGAUCAACACGGUUGUGUUUGAGACCGUGUUCCUUAACAUUGACCGUGUUCCUUAAUACGGACCGUGUUCUAAUUGAAGAAAAUCAAAUUAAGAUGAACACGUUCACAGUCGGCCACACAGGAAUUUAUGCCAGACCGUGUCCCCAACACGUCCCCGUGUUCCAUAAACACGGGCAUGUUCUAAGAAGUUGGUAAGUCAUAACGUUUAAAUUCGCUUAACACGGCCCGAUAUCCAGACCGUGUUUUGGAACACGGCCCCUGUUGGUGAACACGGGCGUGUUCCGUGCACUGCCUAUAUAUACCACUUUAUUUCGAAAUGGCUAAAAAUUUUGCUCUCCUUUAGUUUAGCAAUUCUCUCCUAUCUUACUCUCUCACUUCUUAUUUCUCAUCUUGAAGGCUUUGGAUAUUCGGUUUGUCAAGUAAGUACCCUCCAACUUCAUUUUCCAUAUUUUUUUUUAUUUUGAUAUUAGUUCGAAUAUAUGUUUUCUUUGUGUUUUCUUUGUGUUUUAAUUUUUUUUAGUUUAUUUCCUUAUUUUAUUAUUUGGUGCAUGCAUUUACAUUCAUGUUUGUGCUUAAUUUUUUUUAUUUUCUUUAAUUUAGUUUAUAUACCUAACUUGCUCAUAUUUUCCGUUUUUCUUUUCUACCAUUAUUCAUGAUUGUGAUUAAUUCUUUAUUUUCCUCUUUAUUAUUAUUGUUGGUAGCUAAACAGUAGGCUCUGUCAUAUAUAGUGGACUCCGUUGUAUCUGUUUUAUAUUAGCAUGUUGGUUUGACUUGUGAUGGAUUAUGGCGAAGUUAAACUCCAUGUUGAUGAAUUGAAAAUUUAAUUGGUUAGCAUUGGUUGGCAAUGUUGUGGAUUGAAUUUUCUUUGUAGGACAUUGAGCAGUUUAAUUUUAUCAAGUUAAAUUGUUCGGUUUGUCCAUUUUAAGUCGUUGUGCUGCCAGAAUUUCGUUGAUCCUUAGUACUAAAAAUUUCUUUUUCUGGUACCAUGUCCACCAGAUAAGGAUCAAAAGUUUACAAGAGGAGGCGGACCAAUGGUUCCUCUUCCUCUCGAUUUUCAGGCGCUGCACCGACUAGUUUAGGCCAAAUUAGACCACCGCAGUGCUAUUGAUUCCUACUUUUCCAAGGGCAGCCCACCUUUGAGCAGAGAUAUCAAUCAAUGAGGCACAAAGAUUUGGGAAAGGGGCG